AAGAGGCCCAGCCUGCCCAGUGACUUAGUUCAACGGCCGCGGUAUCCUAACCGUGCGAAGGUAGCGUAAUCACUUGUUCUUUAAAUGAGGACUCGUAUGAAUGGCACCACGAGGGUUACACUGUCUCCUUUCUCUAAUCAAUGAAACUGAUCUCCCCGUGAAGAAGCGGGGAUACACAUAUUAGACGAGAAGACCCUAUGGAGCUUCAAACUAUACAGCACUGGCUUUUAUCUUUUUUCCACUUCAGAGUUUUUAAUUUUAUUCUAGCCUUUUGACUAUUAGUUUUAGGUUGGGGUGACCACGGAGCAAAAAUUAACCUCCACGAUGAACAGACCAACUCUUGAGCUAAAAGCCACAACUUUAAGCACCAAUAAACUGACACAAAUUGACCCA
rnacentral:rRNA from 1 species